rnacentral:lncRNA from 1 species
GUUUUGGUACCGCCUCCAUUUUCCGGAAGUUAUAUUCACACUGCUGCUGCUACCGCCUGGACUUUGACACAUGUAGAAUAAGGAGGAGGUUUGUCUGUGAUCUGAAGUUUUAACCGAGUCACUGUCAGGUUUAUCCUCGUCUCUCGCUCUCUGGCUCAUCCGUCAUGGCGCAGGAAAAUCUGUCUUUAGUGCUGCACUCAAAGGGAGACCUCAGACUGGUAAGAGACCGGCACAGACUUUUAUAUUAUGUGGGGAACAAAAUAAGUUGUAGCUCGUAUGAAACCAUCUAAAUGCACAUUUUUUCCUUUUGAUUUUGUUCAUUUCUCAAAGGAAAAUCGCCCUGUCCCGGAGCCAGGACCUAAUGGUGCAGUAUGACAGUCUACUUUUACAAACAUUACAAAAUAACUUAUUAAAAUGUUGAAGAUGUGUGUCUCACUGCAAAACCAUCUCAAAGCUAGAGCAUGGUCAGGCUGUUCUGCUUCAACUUCAUGCAAUUUAUUUCAAUGAGCAUAUUUUUACCUCCAGAGAAAGUAUCUUUACUGAGCCAAAGCUGAGGUUUUGUUUUUAUGAUCAGGUUGCAAACAUUGCUUUUUGUCAUGUGUGUCCUGUUUUUUCUUUUUCCAGAGGUUUUGCUGCAGAUGCACUCUGUGGGAAUUUGUGGAUCAGACGUUCACUACUGGCAGCACGGACGGAUCGGGGAUUUUGUGGUUAAAAAACCUAUGGUGCUGGGCCAUGAGGCAUCAGGGCGGGUGGUGAAGGUUGGAGCUGCAGUCAAGCAUCUGAAAGUAGGUGAGUGGGCGAGGAGUGUGUAUGUGUGUGUGUCUGGAAGCUGUUAAAUACCGGAGACUAUAUGUCACACAGCAAAGGGAGAUUCAGAAACUUUUACAUCUUUUAUCAUCUCUUAUCUCUUUUACCUCGAUCUUAUUUCGGCCUUACUGUCUUUUUAGCUUUUGUUUUACUUGUACUCUUUUCUUAAUCAACCUUUCAGGUCUUUUAUCGUUUUAUCUCUUGCUCAUUUCUGUUGCUCUAUUUUAUCAUUACUUUUAUUAUCAGGAUUACCUGUUAUCAUUUAAUUACCAUUGUUGAUAUUGCCUUUUAUAUUUACUAUCCUGUUCUCGCUUUCGUCCUCCCUUUUAAUUGCAUUAUCCUUUUUUCUUAACUAUUUCAUGUUUUUAUUUUGGUCUUCAUGGUGUCAUUUUAUGUUGCAUGGUUCUUGUAUUGUCUGGGUUCCUAAUGACAUGAAAAUGGCCUUCAAUACCGUUUUAACUGAGCUUUUUGAUUUUAUUUGUCUUUUUCCAUGUGCUCCACAACUACAUGUCAACAUCUGUUUUUUAAAAGUGCUAUACAAAUAAAGUUAUUUAUAAUCUUUUUCUAAACUCUUGUCUUUUUAAAAGUUGUCAUUUCAACCAUUUGUGACCGAUUUCACUCCAUAUGAAUAAGUUUCCACUCAGCCUCACUGUAAUAGAGAUACUAUGACAAACUAACUCUGUGCUUUUUAAUCUCGCCUUGUGUCCUGAAGGUGACAGAGUUGCCAUCGAGCCUGGCGUUCCCCGUGAAAUGGACGAGUUCUUCAAAAAUGGACGAUACAACUUAUCUCCAACCAUCUUCUUCUGCGCCACUCCCCCUGAUGAUGGAAAUCUGUGCCGAUAUUACACCCACAGCGCCGACUUCUGCUACAAGUAAGUCUGUUCAGGAUUUCAUAGCCACGCUGCAAAAGAUUACUCCACCACUGCCUUAUAUCUCUCUCCAACUGACUCUUGCCUCACUUUUACAUCCUUCUCUUUCCCUCCUCUUUGUUCCUCUCAUUGUAACAAAUCAGGUUGCCUGACAAUGUGACAUUCGAAGAGGGAGCUCUAAUUGAACCUCUGUCCGUGGGGAUCCACGCCUGUCGCAGAGCAGGUGUGACCCUCGGCAGCAGUGUGCUCAUCUGUGGUGCAGGUGAGAACUAUUAAACCUGCAUUAAAUUUUUGCAUUGAGAAAGUACUGCAGACUGCCUUUCAGAGUAUGAUGCAAUCCGAUAUAAAGGAGGUGAUUGCAAUAUAUUUUAACGACAUGCCCCUGCAAGAAAGGAAUUUGGUUCAACACUCUGUGGGUGUAUUCACAAACCUGAGAAUCAUACUGACUCAACAAAAUCUGAGUGAGAAGCUGCUGAACCUGAACACACCUUGUUAGGGUCUUAAUAUUUAACAAACCCCCUCUGCUGUGAAAACAAGCUAAUAGGAAACAUUUGAGACGAUUCCAUGAAGCAACAACAGAUGAAACACUUGAGGUUUUCAAUUCGGAUAUAGCUGCAGGUUACACCUAUACUGCGGAUAUUAGUUAUGAAAUGUUAGUCUCUUUCGAGCGUUGAAUGUGUUCACUCAUGCUGUUAGAAAAGACUGUAUCUAUAAGUGUUACAUUAGCCAAUACUCAGCUGUCUCCUUUAUUCGUCCUCUCUCAACAGGACCGAUUGGGUUGGUUUGUUUGCUCAUAGCCAAAGCGAUGGGAGCGUCACAAGUUGUCAUCACUGGUAACUCGCAGAAAAUCCCUCUAAACUGAAAUGACCAUUGUCAAGAAACAGGUUCUUGUAGUUGUCCUUGUCAUUAUUAUUUUUAUUCACAAUAAUGUUUGUGAAACCUCAUACCUUGUAUUCAGAUCUGUCCUCAGAGCGCCUCGCAAUGGCCAAAGAGUUGGGGGCAGACUUCCAGCUGACAGUGACAAGAGGAGACGGACCCCAGCAGCUGGCUCAGAGUGUUGCAGACAUGCUGGGCGCUCAGCCUCACAUCACUAUUGAAUGCACUGGAGUCGAGAGCAGCAUGCAAACGGCCAUAUAUGUAUGUGAAUAUCCUUUAUAAAGAGCAUUAAAAGUUGUAUUCAAAACAAGUUAGCAUCAAUGCAUAAACUGGAGACAAUAGAGAAUUCAUUCAGGCACUAGACUUUUCUACAGUAUUUAUAGUUGAUCAGUAUGGUGCAGCUGUUAUUUAGCUGUAUGUCUUAAUCUUGAUUUAAAAAUCUGACAUAAAUCACAUGAUUUGAAAUCGUACUGUGUUUUUUUCUUCUUGUCAGGCAGUUCGUUCAGGUGGUGUGGUGGUGCUGGUGGGUCUGGGUGCAGAGAUGGCCACUGUUCCGCUGGUUAAUGCAGCUAUCAGAGAAGUGGACAUCAGAGGGGUUUUCCGCUACUGCAACACGUAAGAAAUUCUCCCUUGCUUGCUCCUCUGGUGGUGUCAGCAGAUGUUCUGAGGCCGAUGAUAAGAUUAACUAAGCUUUUGGUUUGGUUUACAGAUACUAAUAAUUACACGAUAAACCUUCUAGUGAUUGUUUAGUAUCCCAAACAUCUGAAAUAUUUGUCUUUGUGUUGCAGUUGGCCAACUGCCAUAGCCAUGUUGGCUUCAGGUAAAGUGAACGUGAAGCCCCUUGUGACGCACCGUUUCCCUCUGGAACAAGCGGUUCAGGCCUUUGAGACCACCCGUCAGGGUGUCGGGAUAAAGGUUAUGUUAAAGUGUGACCAGAAUGACCAGAAACCCUGACCUGCUUCAGUGACAAAAACCUGAUCAACUGAGGACAACUCAGCAUGACAGACACAAACAUCCCACACACAAACACACACACAGGACUUUGACCUAGAGAAAGAUAACAGAUCUAGCUUAAAGGGACCAGCUAACAUCAACACUGUGAUAGUGUGUACUGUGCACUGCACGAAGGUCAGACGCUCUUUUAGCAUCAAAUGGUACAUGUAAUUAUAGAACACUGAACUCUAAAAGAAUAUUUAAAUGAUUUGAACACGAUUUUAUAUCAUUACAUAAUUUCUAAAUUAUUGACCAUUUUAUAGGCAACUACUGUUAAAAAAAGAGAAUCCUCAGAAUAAAAUCAAAAUCAGAAAAUAUCAUGGACUCCUUUCUCUUCUUUGGUGUCUCAGAAAUGGCCACUAGGUGGUAUCAGAGAUUCGGAGAAAAUAGAUACAGUAGGUUUGUACAAACUGGUGGUGGAGUUAUACAGCAUGUACUCUACAUUGUUGGAUUUGAAAAUACCUUAAAGUUUAUGUUUAAGAACUUAAUUCUGACGUUUUUACAGAGAAAAAACAAACCAACUGGUGUUUCAAAAAUAUGUUGUAAAAUAUGUUUUUUAUAACUGCAAUAACUCAUAAAAAAAACUUUUCAGAAAAAGUGGACCUGAAGUCUAACAAUUGUGGUGUAUCACUGCACCAUUCGGCUCUGAAUUUAUUUUUACAUUAAUUUAAUUUUCAAGUCAUGUGUGUAAAGUCAUAAUAUGACAUCCAUCUUAUUAACAGUCUAUGUCCAAACCUUUGAUAAUGCAUUAAAGAGAAUGGGGGAUUUGUU